GCCCAGACUCCUACGGGAGGCAGCAGUGGGGAAUAUUGCACAAUGGGGGAAACCCUGAUGCAGCGACGCCGCGUGAGUGAAGAAGUAAUUCGUUAUGUAAAGCUCUAUCAGCAGGGAAGAAAAUGACGGUACCUGAGUAAGAAGCCCCGGCUAACUACGUGCCAGCAGCCGCGGUAAUACGUAGGGGGCAAGCGUUAUCCGGAAUUACUGGGUGUAAAGGGAGCGUAGACGGUGAUGCAAGUCUGGAGUGAAAGGCGGGGGCCCAACCCCCGGACUGCUCUGGAAACUGUAUGACUUGAGUGCAGGAGAGGUAAGCGGAAUUCCUGGUGUAGCGGUGAAAUGCGUAGAUAUCAGGAGGAACACCGGUGGCGAAGGCGGCCUGCUGGACUGCAACUGACGUUGAGGCCCGAAAGCGUGGGGAGCAAACAGGAUUAGAUACCCUUGUAA
rnacentral:rRNA from 1 species